AAAAGGGAAAGAAAAUACAGGAAGACGAAAGGGUCUUUGGUAGUGGAAAAAAAUAGUGAGGUAUUAAUUUUAAAGUACAGGUAACAUGCCACCACCAAGGUCAUAGCUUGGGAGGUCUUGGGGUUAAAGUCUCUGUUUUGUUGUUUUCAUUUGAUGUAUAUAUAUAUGCUUUUCCUUUCAAGCCGAGGGCUUUAAAUUGUAAAGGGCUUCUGACCUUUUUUUGUUGUAACCAAGUUAUACUUUGAAAGUUGUAAGCCCAUAGGGUACAUAUUUUUGUUGUUAACAGUUAGAAUUACAUGCUAUGGUUUCAAGAUAAACAUUUAUGAAAGUGUAGUAGGCGUAAUACCUUUUGUAAUAUUAACUCUGAUGAAUGAGAAUAGAACCUUUCUAUCA